AGAGUUUGAUCCUGGCUCAGGACGAACGCUGGCGGCGUGCUUAACACAUGCAAGUCGAGCGAUGAAGCUUCUUCGGAAGUGGAUUAGCGGCGGACGGGUGAGUAACACGUGGGUAACCUGCCCUAUAGUGGGGAAUAGCCUUUCGAAAGGAAGAUUAAUACCCCAUAAGAUUGUAGUUCCGCAUGGGACAGCAAUUAAAGGAGCAAUUCGCUAUAGGAUGGACCCGCGGCGCAUUAGCUAGUUGGUGAGGUAACGGCUUACCAAGGCGACGAUGCGUAGCCGACCUGAGAGGGUGAUCGGCCACAUUGGGACUGAGACACGGCCCAAACUCCUACGGGAGGCAGCAGUGGGGAAUAUUGCACAAUGGGGGAAACCCUGAUGCAGCAACGCCGCGUGAGUGAUGACGGUCUUCGGAUUGUAAAGCUCUGUCUUCAGGGACGAUAAUGACGGUACCUGAGGAGGAAGCCACGGCUAACUACGUGCCAGCAGCCGCGGUAAUACGUAGGUGGCAAGCGUUGUCCGGAUUUACUGGGCGUAAAGGGAGCGUAGGCGGAUUUUUAAGUGGGAUGUGAAAUACCCGGGCUCAACCUGGGUGCUGCAUUCCAAACUGGAAAUCUAGAGUGCAGGAGAGGAAAGUGGAAUUCCUAGUGUAGCGGUGAAAUGCGUAGAGAUUAGGAAGAAUACCAGUGGCGAAGGCGCCUUUCUGGACUGUAACUGACACUGAGGCUCGAAAGCAUGGGUAGCGAACAGGAUUAGAUACCCUGGUAGUCCAUGCCGUAAACGAUGAAUGCUAGGUGUUGGAGGGUUUCCGCCCUCUGUGCCGCCGCUAACGCAUUAAGUAUUCCGCCUGGGGAGUACGGUCGCAAGAUUAAAACUCAAAGGAAUUGACGGGGGCCCGCACAAGCGGUGGAGUAUGUGGUUUAAUUCGACGCAACGCGAAGAACCUUACCAGGUCUUGACAUACUCAUAAAUGUUCCAGAGAUGGAACUUUCCUUCGGGACAGGCGAGACAGGUGGUGCAUGGUUGUCGUCAGCUCGUGUCGUGAGAUGUUGGGUUAAGUCCCGCAACGAGCGCAACCCCUAUCUUUAGUAGCCAGCAGGUGAAGCUGGGCACUCUGGAGAGACUGCCAGGGAUAACCUGGAGGAAGGUGGGGAUGACGUCAAAUCAUCAUGCCCCUUAUGAUCUGGGCUACACACGUGCUACAAUGGCGUAAACAAAGGGAAGCGAGAGUGCGAGCUGGAGCAAAUCCCAAAAAUAACGUCUCAGUUCGGAUUGUAGUCUGCAACUCGACUACAUGAAGCUGGAAUCGCUAGUAACCGCGAAUCAGAAUGUCGCGGUGAAUACGUUCCCGGGUUGUGCACACACCGCCCGUCA
rnacentral:rRNA from 1 species